rnacentral:lncRNA from 1 species
GUGGGAGCAAGCCUGAGGAGUCAGGGCAAAUUCAUUUCAAGUCACUGGAACCAACCUCAUAAAAUGUAUUAAUCACUGGCUGGCUUUCAUCACAAGGAGCUGACGUAUGAGGAAGGAAUGUGAUAAACAAUUUGAUCUCAGAUAAAGGUGGGGAGGGAGGGAGGCAGCUCUCUGUGUCUGCUGCAAGGUAAGCUUAUAGAGCUAUUUUAGUCACAAGUUCUGUACAACCUGUGAUUCAGACCUGAUCAAGCUAUUCAUGGCACGUUCUGUUUCUGUGAAGUUGAAAGACAGGUUGGGUUUCCUGAUCUCUGAGCAGCUGGGGGAAUGUUUUUGGGAGGGCUUUUUUUUCUCUUUGUUUGUUUUGGUGUAGAAAUUCCAUCACUUAUGUCCACCGUGCAGUAUAGUGAGAUUGUGCCGUGAUGUGCUUUCCUGUCCCAGAUUUCCCACAUUUUAAUUGUUGUAUUCCAUACAGCCCUGCUGGGAGUUCACAGGGUACUUCCGAGAAUAAAGCACAGAAAAUUUCUGUCAGCAUAGGUUGACUGUUAUUGAUGAUCCACCUAAUCUUUUAUUGCAUAGUUUGGGGCUUAUGCUGACUUCAUAUUUAACAUAAAGUAGUCUUUAUUUACACUGUCAGUGCCAGCUCAGAGGAGUGAUUGUAAGAUGUACGAGAUUGUAAUCCGAUCUUGUCUUGGAGUUGAUGAGAGACUGGAGAGGUUUUUUGAUGGGAAGAGAAAGCUAAAAGGGGAAAAGAGAAGCUUUAUUUUUAAAAUGAUAAUAAGGUCCUGCUUUUUUAAAAAAAUAACUUCUGUACUUACAGGCUCUGAUACCUUCUGCAAUUUUGAUACUUUAAUCUUAUGUCCCAGUUACAUUUCCCUACAAAGAAGCAUUUUCAACAGCAGUGUAUACACUUGGAUACUCCAUUUUCAGAACAUUAGGGACCAGCGUGACCUCAAAUUGCUUUUGCCCUCUCCUUGGAAAACCAGCAGCAUUUUUUCUUCCCCACUCCUCUUCCAGGAAGCUUUAGUUGUUACUUUGAUGCAAUAUUUACUUACCUGUCUGUGACAAAAUGAAUUGAUUGUUUUUAAAGCUCAUAUAUGAGAUCUUUUCCAAUAAAAUAUUUAUGGUUUCCUGGGGUUGGGGAGUU